UAAUUUGUUUCUUGUACUAUUGAGAAUACAUAAAUUAUAUUAAGGUUGUUGAGAAUACCUUUUAUUUCUGGAUAUUUUUUCUCUAGUUUAGUUGUGUAAGUUGUGUGUAUUAAGUAAUAAUUUUUAUUAUCCUUAUUAUGAUUGUUAUAUGUUUUUUUAUUUAUAAACUUGUUGUUUUUACCGGACUUUAAGAAAAAUACAUGAAGAUUUGUAAAAAUAACUAAAAUGAGUGACAAUUCUUAGUAUCUGAGCUUUAAUGGGUUUUAAAUGAAUUUAUGUAUU
rnacentral:lncRNA from 1 species